UCUGGUUGAUCCUGCCUGAACUGAUGUGUUCAUUUCAAAGAUUAAGCCAUGAUGUAUAAGUUUAAUCGUUUUAACGAGAAACCGCGAACGGCUCAUUACAAUGCCAUGAUUUACUUGAUCUUGAUUAUCUAAAUGGAUCUGUGGAAAAGCUAGAGCUAAUACAUGCACCAAAGCUUUGUCCUCUCGGAAAAGCGCAUUUAUUAGAACAAAACCACGCGGCUUCGGCUGCUUCUUGUUGACUCAGAAUAACUAAGCUGACCGCAUGGCCUUGUGCCGGCGGCGUGUCUCAAGCGUCCACUUUAUCAACUUGACGGGAGCAUAAUCGACUCCCGUGGUGGUGACGGAUAACGGAGGAUCAGGGUUCGACUCCGGAGAAGGGGCCUGAGAAAUGGCCACUACGUCUAAGGAUGGCAGCAGGCGCGCAAAUUACCCACUCUCGGCUCGAGGAGGUAGUGACGAGAAAUAACGAGAUCGUUCUCUUUGAGGCCGGUCAUCGGAAUGGGUACAAUUUAAACCCUUUAACGAGUAUCAAGCAGAGGGCAAGUCUGGUGCCAGCAGCCGCGGUAAUUCCAGCUCUGCUAAUACAUAGAAUUAUUGCUGCGGUUAAAAAGCUCGUAGUUGGAUUCGUAUCGGUACCCUGGAACCCUCCGGGUGUUUCUGGGUGUUAUCGAUUUAUCGUAAUGUUCGGUUUUGAGUCCUUAACAGGAUUCUUAACAGGCAUUGCAAGUUUACUUUGAACAAAUCAGAGUGCUUCAAACAGGCGUUUUCGCUUGAAUGAUCGUGCAUGGAAUAAUAGAAAACGAUUUCGGUUCAGUUUUAUUGGUUUUACGGACUGAGAUAAUGGUUAACAGAGACAAACGGGGGCAUUUGUAUGGCCCCGUGAGAGGUGAAAUUCUUGGACCGUGGCCAGACAAACUACAGCGAAAGCAUUUGCCAAGAAUGUCUUCAUUAAUCAAGAACGAAAGUCAGAGGUUCGAAGGCGAUCAGAUACCGCCCUAGUUCUGACCGUAAACGAUGCCAACUAGCGAUCCGCCGAUGGAAAUUAUAUUGCCUUGGUGGGGAGCUUCCCGGAAACGAAAGUCUUCCGGUUCCGGGGGAAGUAUGGUUGCAAAGCUGAAACUUAAAGGAAUUGACGGAAGGGCACCACCAGGAGUGGAGCCUGCGGCUUAAUUUGACUCAACACGGGGAAACUCACCCGGCCCGGACACUGUGAGGAUUGACAGAUUGAUAGCUUUUUCAUGAUUCAGUGGAUGGUGGUGCAUGGCCGUUCUUAGUUCGUGGAGUGAUUUGUCUGGUUUAUUCCGAUAACGAGCGAGACUCUAACCUACUAAAUAGCUGGUACAUAAUCUUUGUGUAUACAGCUUCUUAGAGGGAUUUGCGGUGUUCAACCGAAAGAAAUUGAGCAAUAACAGGUCUGUGAUGCCCUUAGAUGUCCGGGGCUGCACGCGCGCUACACUGGCAAAAUCAACGUGCUUGUCCUACCCCGAAAGGGGCGGGUAAACCAUUGAAAAUUUGCCGUGAUUGGGAUCGGAAAUUGCAAUUAUUUUCCGUGAACGAGGAAUUCCAAGUAAGUGCGAGUCAUCAGCUCGCGUUGAUUACGUCCCUGCCCUUUGUACACACCGCCCGUCGCUGCCCGGGACUGAGCCAUUUCGAGAAAUUUGGGGACCGUUGAUUUAAUUUUUCUAAAUUACUUUGAUGGAAACCAAUUUAAUCGCAGUGGCUUGAACCGGGCAAAAGUCGUAACAAGGUAGCUGUAGGUGAACCUGCUGCUG
rnacentral:rRNA from 1 species